AACGAACGCUGGCGGCAUGCCUAACACAUGCAAGUCGAACGAGAUCUUCGGGUCUAGUGGCGCACGGGUGCGUAACGCGUGGGAAUCUGCCCUUUGGUUCGGAGUAACAGUUGGAAACGACUGCUAAUACCGGAUGAUGACGAAAGUCCAAAGAUUUAUCGCCAGAGGAUGAGCCCGCGUAGGAUUAGCUAGUUGGUGUGGUAAGGGCGCACCAAGGCGACGAUCCUUAGCUGGUCUGAGAGGAUGAUCAGCCACACUGGGACUGAGACACGGCCCAGACUCCUACGGGAGGCAGCAGUGGGGAAUAUUGGACAAUGGGCGAAAGCCUGAUCCAGCAAUGCCGCGUGAGUGAUGAAGGCCUUAGGGUUGUAAAGCUCUUUUACCCGGGAUGAUAAUGACAGUACCGGGAGAAUAAGCUCCGGCUAACUCCGUGCCAGCAGCCGCGGUAA
rnacentral:rRNA from 1 species